UUGUCUCCGUGGCACUGGCAUGCAUUUGCAACGAGGAGACUAAACAACUAAGAAACUAGAAGUCGUUGUCGCUUGCCACUGCUAAUGAUAUGAUACGAUACUAUUUCUUCUUUAAAUUAUGCAAUCACCUUGCCUUUACUUUCCUUUUCUUUUAAAAAAAUAAAAUAAAAAUACGUCAGAAACCAGAAUUGAGAUUGAAAUUGUAAGAAGAAUCCUUAGCUGCCUAUAUAUAUAUAUAUAUAAACAACUUUGUGUUUCUCAUAAAAGAGAUUGAAUUUGCAUGAAGGGAGUUGAAGCAGAAGAAGAGGCACCAUCAUUCUUGCAUGCUCCUCAGCCUGGAAUCAGGAGAACUAGGACCGCAUGGACGGCAGUGGCACACAUAAUAACGGGAGUGAUAGGGUCGGGGGUGCUAUCACUGGCAGGGAGCAUGGCUCAGUUAGGGUGGAUUGCAGGUCUUGUAACCAUGUUGUGUUUUGCUUCAGUCGCCCUCUUAUCAGG